GGAAUCUCUGAACGGGAGCACCUGGCAAAGGUCACCUUUAAAUUGAAGCACAAACCUAUUCCUUUGGGUUAAGUUGGUGCUUUGGUCUUACUGCAGAAGUUGGCACACCUGGGCUGCUGGCCGUGUUACCCAGGACUCACCUCCUUGCGAUUCUUCCUGGUGAGGCUCUGCCAUGCUUGAACCAGGGCAUCCUUUCUCUUGGCAGCCCUGCUGGUGCCGAUCCAUUGGGGCUCUGAACAUCAGAAUGGCACUGGGCCUCCAUGAAGUUCCUUAAGGAGGACAACAGAGGAAUGUUGGAUCCUAUGUGGCUGAUGUGUGGAUGUGAUAUUCAGAAAGCUAAUCCUUGACAGCAACAAAUUGGAAGUUCCUGGGCUUGCAAAUAAAUGUGGGUAUUUUCAUCAGACCUUCAUAUUUUCUUCAGUAACUGUGAAAUCAAAAGCACUUCUAAAAAUCCAUCGAGAACACUUUGGAGUCGUGGGGAAUAUCCAGGUUGGUCUGCUAGAAUUACUGGAUGGAAGAGACAGUGGAAAAUAAUAGUUGGCCACACUGGUCUCAGGAAAACAGGGCGGAAAUGGGUAAAGCCAUUAUGAAAACCAAUUUACCCUAGAAACCUGUAACUACAUAGGCUUUUUUUUAUUGUUAUUUCUGAACUCAGAGCUCUGUGUGAUUAAUGGAUCAAACAGUGUAAGCUAGACCUGAAAUGUCUGUUCGAAAAUAUUAUGUUAAAUGCUCCUGCUCAUUUGCAUACUGUCUGCCUGUUAAUAAAGUCACAGGAGAGGAAGAAAGCUGUAGAACUGUCUUAUCUGUACAAAUAACACCUUGCAUUUUGGAAACAGAGUGAUCUGCUUUGGAGGCCUCUGCUGCAGUAUUAGAUGACCACAGAGGACGCUGCUUUCAAAAGCAACACAGCUGAGCCUCCUGCCAGAGCUCUGCUCUGUAGCACUCACAUUUAGUGCUGGACAAACCAACCUAUGAUGUGUUUCCCAUGGUGCUGUGCAACCCCUCUGAGCUCCAG
rnacentral:lncRNA from 1 species